rnacentral:rRNA from 1 species
GACGAACGCUGGCGGCGUGCCUAAUACAUGCAAGUAGAACGCUGAAGCUUGGUGCUUGCACCGAGCGGAUGAGUUGCGAACGGGUGAGUAACGCGUAGGUAACCUGCCUGGUAGCGGGGGAUAACUAUUGGAAACGAUAGCUAAUACCGCAUAAGAGUAGAUGUUGCAUGACAUUUGCUUAAAAGGUGCAAUUGCAUCACUACCAGAUUGACCUGCGUUGUAUUAGCUAGUUGGUGAGGUAACGGCUCACCAAGGCAACGAUACAUAGCCGACCUGAGAGGGUGAUCGGCCACACUGGGACUGAGAAACGGCCCAGACUCCUACGGGAGGCAGCAGUAGGGAAUCUUCGGCAAGGGACGGAAGUCUGACCGAGCAACGCCGCGUGAGUGAAGAAGGGUGUCGGAUCGUAAAGCUCUGUUGUAAGAGAAGAACGAGUGUGAGAGUGGAAAGUUCACACUGUGACGGUAUCUUACCAGAAAGGGACGGCUAACUACGUG